UACGUAGGGGGCAAGCGUUAUCCGGAUUUACUGGGUGUAAAGGGAGCGUAGACGGCUGUGCAAGUCUGAAGUGAAAGCCCGUGGCUCAACCGCGGAACUGCUUUUGGAACUACAUGGCUUGAUUGCAGGAGAGGCAAGUGGAAUUCCUAGUGUAGCGGUGAAAUGCGUAGAUAUUAGGAGGAACACCAGUGGCGAAGGCGGCUUACUGGACGAUGACUGACGCUGAGGCUCGAAAGCGUGGGGAGCAAACAGG
rnacentral:rRNA from 1 species